rnacentral:rRNA from 1 species
AUGAGCAUUUUUUCACCGCCGGCGGACGAAAAAAGUCCCACUCAUGCCCCCACGAGCUCGUUUAGUGCUGGAUCUGGCCAAAAACAGAGAGCCGGCGACCCCAACGCGAACCCAAGGAGCUGGGGGGCACCUAUGGGGCUUAAUUCGCCGUUUUACAUGCGCUCAUCCACCUGGCAGCGUCUCUCUUCUCUCCUGCCCCUUUCCCUCCCUGGCCCACCCACGUGCUCCCCUCCACACACACCCAUCCUCUCUCUCUCUCGAGGCCGGGCUCCUCUCUCUUCUCUUCUCCUUCUCUUGCUUCGCGGCACCCGGCACGCCGCCGCCCUCGCCUCGCCGCGCCCGGCUCGCCACCGCUGUCGCCUCGCCACGCACAGGUCCGAAGCAUGGCCAUCACGUGCUCCUCCUACAGCUGGGCCGGACGCGCCGGUGGAAAUGGCGCACACGCCGCCCGCGCCUCCUCUUCCUGCUCGCCGCUGCCGCUCCUCCACGCUGGUGCGGCGCCGACACGGGCGAGCUCGCGGUGCGCGGGCGCAGUGCAGGCACGGGCCUGCCCGAACGGGUCGGCCGGCGGGGAUGACGCCGGCGCCCCAGAUGAUGUCGGCCUCGUCGGCCGGCGGGGACGAGCUCCAGGGUCGGGUCGGCCGCGUGAUGCAGGGGCGGCUCGAGGGACCGGGCAUGGGGCGAGGGAGUGGGGCACGGGGCGGCUCGACGUCGGCCUCCAGCCGCCCGCUGCAGGCCGCCUACGCGCUGAGCCGCGGCCGGCGCGCGGCCAGCACGGACAGGGACGAUGGGACCCCCGGCAGGGUAUGUCACAAGAUGGCUGGGCGAGGCGCUGUACAAGAUGAGGUGCGCGCGCGGACGAGCUCCUCGUCGGCCCUGCCGCGGAGCGGACGCGGCGGCGGCUCGCCAGCCCCGGCGCGGGGCGGACGCGGCGUUCAACAUGAAGGCGGUCAAGCGGGCGAGCGAGUGAGGCGUCGACUGGGGGCUUAA